rnacentral:rRNA from 1 species
UCGAUAGCCUCUUACGAGUGACGGGGAAUAGUGGUUUGACUCCGGAGAAGGAGCCUGAGAGACGGCUACUACAUCUAAGGAAGGCAGCAGGCGCGCAAAUUUCCCAAUGCUCAAUGAGCGAGGAAGUGACGAAUAUUAACAAACUUUUUUCUCUUAAGAAGAAAGUAUUGGAAUGACUACAAUUUACAACCCUUAAGGAGGAUCAAUUGGAGGGCAAGUCUGGUGCCAGCAGCCGCGGUAAUUCCAGCUCCAAUAGUAGAUAUCAAAAUUGUUGCAGUUGAAAAGCUCGUAGUUGAGAUUCUGGGAAGUGUCGCUAUUCUAGGCUUGACGCAAGUCAUUCUAGUUGGUGAGCUUUCCAUCUUGUGGAAUCCGCGUUGUUCGUUCGUUCGGAUGACGUGCCACUCAGUUACUGAGAGCAAAUUGGAGUGCUCAAAGCAGGCUAUACAGCUUUGAACAAUUAAGCUUGGAAUAACAAUUAACGACUUGUUUGUAAUUGUUGGUUGUACAUUAACAAGUAAUGCUUGAAAGGGAACAGUUGUCGGGGAUAUUCGUAUGAGCAAGUCAGAGGUGAAAUUCAAGGAUUUUGCUUAGACGAACGACUGCGAAAGCAUCUAUCCAGCAUGUUUUCAUCAAUCAAGAACGAAAGUAAAGGGAUCGAAGAUGAUUAGAUACCAUCGUAGUCUUUACCAUAAACGAUGCCGACUCGGGAUUGUCAAUGUUCUUUUUUAGACGUUGGCAGAACCGUAUGAGAAAUCAUUAAGUUUUUGGGUUCCGGGGGGAGUACGUGCGCAAGCAUGAAACUUUAAGGAAUUGACGGAAAUCUACACCAGAGGUGGAGCCUGCGGUUUAAUUUGACUCAACACGGGAAAACUUACCAGGUCCAGACAUAAGGAGGAUUGACAGUUUGAAAGCACUUUCUUGAUUUUAUGGGUGGUGGUGCAUGGCCGUUCUUAGUUGGUGGAGUGAUUUGUCUUCUUAAUUGCGAUAACGGACGAGACUCGUACGCUCUAAUGGGGGCUCGUAUCUUGCGAUACUUGACCCCCUCUACAGCGGACAACUCUUGAUAAAAGAGAGGAAGAGACGAGCAAUAACAGGUCUGUGAUGCCCUUAGAUGUUCUGGGCCACACGCGCGCUACAAUGACAAAGUCAACGAGUAUUUGUUCCUUGCUCGGAAGAGUGUGGGUAAUCUUGUAAAUCUUUGUCGUGAUGGGGCUAGAGUUUUGUGAUUAUUACUCUUCAACGAGGAAUCUCUAGUAUGUGCAAGUCAUUAGCUUGCGCAGAAUGCGUCCCUGGAUUUUGUACACACCGCCCGUCGCACCUACCGAUUGGAUGUCUCCACGAGGUGUUUGGAGAUGAUUUGAUUCGCUUGCGUUUCUUAUCGUCAAAAUCCCCCGAAUGGCUAUAUCUAGAGGAAGGUGAAGUCGUAACAAGGUU